UCAAAACCCAUUAAACAUAAUGAGUACGCCUAUAUUAACUAUAUAGCCGAAUUAAUGUUAGAACUAGUAAUAAGAAACUACAAUUUUCUCUAAAACAUCUGUAUAAAUCAGCUCGAACCACUCACUGAUAACUAACAACCAAAUAAUUCUAUUAAAAAAUCACACUAGACACCCAAUUUAUUUACUACACCGUUAACCCAACACAGGAAUGUUUUCAAGAAAGACAUAAAAGUAAAGAAGGAACUCGGCAACUAUUGAGCUUCGCCUGUUUACCAAAAACAUCACCUCUAGCAAACCUAAACAUGUAUUAGAGCACUGCCUGCCCACUGAUUUUAUUCAACGGCCGCGGUAUUCUGACCGUGCAAAGGUAGCAUAAUCACUUGUCUUUUAAAUAAAGACUAGUAUGAACGGCGUCACGAAAGCCUAACUGUCUCCUUUAUUUAGUCAAUGAAACUGAUCUUCACGUACAAAAGCGUGAAUAUUAAAAUAAGACGAGAAGACCCUAUGGAACUUAAAACACGCAGCCAUUUUAAUCUAACACAACAGCAAUAAUACACCUGGAUUUCGCUGUUUUUGGUUGGGGCGACCACGGAGUAAAAUACAACCUCCGAGAACAUCUACUAAGAUUAACAAAACAACGUACCAAAACUUUAGCCUUUAAGACCCAAUAAACUUGAUCAUCGAACCAAGCUACCCUAGGGAUAACAGCGCAAUCUUCUUUCAGAGCCCUUAUCACCAAGAAGGUUUACGACCUCGAUGUUGGAUCAGGAUGCCCAGACAGU
rnacentral:rRNA from 1 species